rnacentral:misc_RNA from 1 species
GAAAUGCUAUAAGUAAUGUGAAUUGCAGAAUUCAGUGAAUCAUCGAAUCUUUGAACGCACAUUGCGCCCGCCAGUAUUCUGGCGGGCAUGCCUGUUCGAGCGUCAUUUCAACCAUCAAGCCCCCGGCUUGUGUUGGGGACCUGCGGCUGCCCGCAGGCCCUGAAAAACAGUGGCGGGCUCGCUGUCACACCGAGCGUAGUAGCAUACAUUCUCGCUCAGGGCGUGCUGCGGGUUCCGGCCGUUAAACGACCUUCAUAACCCAAGGUUGACCUCGGAUCAGGUAGGAAGACCCGCUGAACUUAAGC